rnacentral:rRNA from 1 species
UACGUAGGGUGCGAGCGUUGUCCGGAUUUAUUGGGCGUAAAGAGCUCGUAGGUGGUCUGUUGCGUCGGUUGUGAAAACCCGGGGCUUAACUCCGGGCCUGCAGUCGAUACGGGCAGACUAGAGUUCGGCAGGGGAGACUGGAAUUCCUGGUGUAGCGGUGAAAUGCGCAGAUAUCAGGAGGAACACCGGUGGCGAAGGCGGGUCUCUGGGCCGAUACUGACACUGAGGAGCGAAAGCGUGGGGAGCGAACAGG